rnacentral:rRNA from 1 species
UAAGCGCACAGUGCUGCAUGGCACAGUGUGAAAAACUCCGGUGGUAUGAGAUGGACCCGCGUCUGAUUAGCUAGUUGGUGGGGUAACGGCCUACCAAGGCGACGAUCAGUAGCCGGCCUGAGAGGGUGAACGGCCACAUUGGGACUGAGACACGGCCCAAACUCCUACGGGAGGCAGCAUGG